GUAGUUGUGGCUGAGUGGUUAUGGUGAUGGACUAGAAAUCCAUUGAGGCCCUGUGCAGGUUUGAAUACUGCUGACUGUG
rnacentral:tRNA from 1 species